AUGGAGAGUUCAAUGAAAUUAGGCAUGAUGGCUGUUUUUGCUGUAUCUGGAAGCAUGGUUUUGUUGGCUCAUCAAGUUCAUAAACGUCAUGAGAAACAUAAUGAAGCAAAGAAAAAGGUGAGGUUUGCAAAAAAUAUGAAGGGAGUUUCAAUGGAGAACAAGAGUAAUAAUAACAAUAGGGAUGAGAUUAGGGCACAAAGGAUGAAAGAUGAACAAGUUUGGGUCAUAGAGAAUGCUUUGAAAUCUGGAUGUGUGCAUAAAUUAGAGGACACUAUGCCUCCUAAUAGGGCAGUUUUAUAUAGAGGUAUUAUGAAUUAUAGGCAUGCAACUACUAGUGGAAGAAUUCGUUUUUGA
rnacentral:lncRNA from 1 species